GGAGCUUGCUCCACCGGAAAAAGAAGAGUGGCGAACGGGUGAGUAACACGUGGGUAACCUGCCCAUCAGAAGGGGAUAACACUUGGAAACAGGUGCUAAUACCGUAUAACAAUCGAAACCGCAUGGUUUUGAUUUGAAAGGCGCUUUCGGGUGUCGCUGAUGGAUGGACCCGCGGUGCAUUAGCUAGUUGGUGAGGUAACGGCUCACCAAGGCCACGAUGCAUAGCCGACCUGAGAGGGUGAUCGGCCACAUUGGGACUGAGACACGGCCCAAACUCCUACGGGAGGCAGCAGUAGGGAAUCUUCGGCAAUGGACGAAAGUCUGACCGAGCAACGCCGCGUGAGUGAAGAAGGUUUUCGGAUCGUAAAACUCUGUUGUUAGAGAAGAACAAGGAUGAGAGUAACUGUUCAUCCCUUGACGGUAUCUAACCAGAAAGCCACGGCUAACUACGUGCCAGCAGCCGCGGUAAUACGUAGGUGGCAAGCGUUGUCCGGAUUUAUUGGGCGUAAAGCGAGCGCAGGCGGUUUCUUAAGUCUGAUGUGAAAGCCCCCGGCUCAACCGGGGAGGGUCAUUGGAAACUGGGAGACUUGAGUGCAGAAGAGGAGAGUGGAAUUCCAUGUGUAGCGGUGAAAUGCGUAGAUAUAUGGAGGAACACCAGUGGCGAAGGCGGCUCUCUGGUCUGUAACUGACGCUGAGGCUCGAAAGCGUGGGGAGCAAACAGGAUUAGAUACCCUGGUAGUCCACGCCGUAAACGAUGAGUGCUAAGUGUUGGAGGGUUUCCGCCCUUCAGUGCUGCAGCUAACGCAUUAAGCACUCCGCCUGGGGAGUACGACCGCAAGGUUGAAACUCAAAGGAAUUGACGGGGGCCCGCACAAGCGGUGGAGCAUGUGGUUUAAUUCGAAGCAACGCGAAGAACCUUACCAGGUCUUGACAUCCUUUGACCACUCUAGAGAUAGAGCUUCCCCUUCGGGGGCAAAGUGACAGGUGGUGCAUGGUUGUCGUCAGCUCGUGUCGUGAGAUGUUGGGUUAAGUCCCGCAACGAGCGCAACCCUUAUUGUUAGUUGCCAUCAUUCAGUUGGGCACUCUAGCAAGACUGCCGGUGACAAACCGGAGGAAGGUGGGGAUGACGUCAAAUCAUCAUGCCCCUUAUGACCUGGGCUACACACGUGCUACAAUGGGAAGUACAACGAGUCGCGAAGUCGCGAGGCUAAGCUAAUCUCUUAAAGCUUCUCUCAGUUCGGAUUGUAGGCUGCAACUCGCCUACAUGAAGCCGGAAUCGCUAGUAAUCGCGGAUCAGCACGCCGCGGUGAAUACGUUCCCGGGCCUUGUACACACCGCCCGUCACACCACGAGAGUU
rnacentral:rRNA from 1 species